rnacentral:tRNA from 1 species
CGGGAUAUAGCGCAGUCUGGUCUAGCGCGUUUGACUGGGGGUCAAAAGGUCGCGAGUUCGAAUCUCGCUAUCCCGACCA